rnacentral:rRNA from 1 species
GAUGAACGCUGGCGGCAUGCCUAAUACAUGCAAGUCGAACGAGAGGAAGGAAAGCUUGCUUUCCUGAAUCUAGUGGCGAACGGGUGAGUAACACGUAGGUAACCUGCCCAUGUGCCCGGGAUAACUUCUGGAAACGGAUGCUAAAACCGGAUAGGUAGCAGACAAGCAUUUGACUGCUAUUAAAGUGGCCUUGGCCAUGAACAUGGAUGGACCUGCGGUGCAUUAGCUGGUUGGUGAGGUAACGGCCCACCAAGGCGACGAUGCAUAGCCGGCCUGAGAGGGCGGACGGCCACAUUGGGACUGAGACACGGCCCAAACUCCUACGGGAGGCAGCAGUAGGGAAUUUUCGUCAAUGGGGGGAACCCUGAACGAGCAAUGCCGCGUGAGUGAGGAAGGUCUUCGGAUCGUAAAGCUCUGUUGUAAGAGAAAAACGGCACUCAUAGGGAAUGAUGAGUGAGUGAUGGUAUCUUACCAGAAAGUCACGGCUA